rnacentral:rRNA from 1 species
UUCAACAACGGUUCUCUUGGUUCUCGCAUCGAUGAAGAACGCAGCGAAAUGCGAUACGUAAUGUGAAUUGCAGAAUUCCGUGAAUCAUCGAAUCUUUGAACGCACAUUGCGCCCCUUGGUAUUCCAGGGGCAUGCCUGUUUGAGCGUCAUUUCCUUCU